AAAAACAUAAAAAAUAUGCCACUUUUUACUAAUGGCACAAAUAUAAUUAUAUAAAACUUUUGUACAAUUAGAUUGAUAAAUUCUAUUGUACUUUUUCUUUUACUUCCAACCACCGGUUUAUACUUUAUAUACAUAUAUAAUAAAAUAUAUGAUAUAUUAUAACUUUUGUUAACUUCUUUUUGUUGAAUAAUAUAUUACAAAUUAACUCAUUAUGUUAACUAUUUUAUAAUUGAUUAAAU
rnacentral:lncRNA from 1 species